GACGAACGCUGGCGGCGUGCUUAACACAUGCAAGUCGAACGGAAAGGCCCUGCUUUUGUGGGGUGCUCGAGUGGCGAACGGGUGAGUAACACGUGAGUAACCUGCCCUUGACUUUGGGAUAACUUCAGGAAACUGGGGCUAAUACCGGAUAGGAGCUCCUGCUGCAUGGUGGGGGUUGGAAAGUUUCGGCGGUUGGGGAUGGACUGGCGGCUUACCGGCUGGUUGGUGGGGUAGUGGCUUACAAGGGCUUUGACGGGUAGCCGGCCUGAGAGGGGGACCGGCGACAUUGGGACUGAGAGACGGCCCAGACUCCUACGGGAGGCAGCAGUGGGGAAUAUUGCACAAUGGGCGGAAGCCUGAUGCAGCAACGCCGCGUGCGGGAUGACGGCCUUCGGGUUGUAAACCGCUUUCGCCUGUGACGAAGCGUGAGUGACGGUAAUGGGUAAAGAAGCACCGGCUAACUACGUG
rnacentral:rRNA from 1 species